UACAGAGGAUGCAAGCGUUAUCCGGAAUGAUUGGGCGUAAAGCGUCUGUAGGUGGCUUUUAAGUCCGCCGUCAAAUCCCAGGGCUCAACUCUGGACAGGCGGUGGAAACUACCAAGCUGGAGUACGGGUAGGGGCAGAGGGAAUUUCCGGUGGAGGCGGUGAAAUGCGUAGAGAUCGGAAAGAACACCAACGGCGAAAGCACUCUGCUGGGCCGACACUGACACUGAGGCGCGAAAGCCAGGGGAGCAAACGGGA
rnacentral:rRNA from 1 species